rnacentral:misc_RNA from 1 species
GAUGAAGAACACAGCGAAAUGCGAUAAGUAAUGUGAAUUGCAGAAUUCAGUGAAUCAUCGAAUCUUUGAACGCACCUUGCGCCCUUUGGCCAUUCCGAAGGGCAUGCCUGUUUGAGUAUCAUGAACACCUCAACUCUUUAUGGUUUUCCAUGAUGAGCUUGGACUCUGGGGGUUUUGCUGGCUCACAGUCGGCUCCUCUAAAAUGAAUCAGCUUACCAGUGUUUGGUGGGUAUCAUGGGUGUGAUAACUAUCUACGCUUGUGGUUUUUCCACCAGGUAACCUUCAGCAGUGGAGGUUCGCUGGAGCUCAUAGAUGUCUCUCCUCAGUGAGGACAGCCCUUUGAAUGUUUGAUCUCAAAUCAGGUAGGACUACCCGCUGAACUUAAGCAUAUCAAUAAGCGGAGGA